UAGCCAAGAUACCUGCUCUCAGGGACCUUGGCUUCAAUUGUUCAUACCUGGUCCUGGUUGAUGGCUGAAUAUUGGGCAAUGCGUAUGAAGCUGCAUAUGGUAAGGACAUGACAGAGCUGAUCUGGAGACUGGAAGGAUACAGGAAAACAAAGGAGAAGAAAGAUUGAUAUUUACAAGCUGUCAGCCUCAGAGGAAAAAAAACCAAGCCUGCUGACAUCUUGCUCUUGGAGUUUAGGCACCAGAACUAUGAAGAAAUACAUUUCUGUUGUUUAAGCCACCCAAUCUACAGUAUUUUUGUAUCCUAGUUAUAGCAAACUAUGUGCUAUCCCAUAGUUUCUGUGUUCACUCCACCCUUCUUUGUCAACCCUGAUGCUAACUUGAACUCUGCUUCAUAGGGACCAGAUACCAUAGUCCUAGAGCUGACCCAGAGAACAGGGCCCUCUUUGUUUAUUCCUAGUCACAAUCAUUAUGUUCUUUAACUCCACAUUCUUAUUUCACUUGCUAAUGGAAGCUCACAUUUUUUCUCAUUUUAUUUUACAGGAAAUCCAACUCUUUCAAACCAUCCAUUAUUUUAGUAGCAUAAAGUAAAGGCUCUGAUAAAUGUCCAUUAACAAGAUUGAUUCUUUGCCAUAACCUCUUCUCCAGCACUAGGAGGUGAAAGAAAGUAGAAGUUUAUUUUUCCAGUGAUAGAAUUCAAGCGCCCACCCCCCAACUCCCCUACCAUUUUCAAUGAAUAAGUGGCUACCUUCAGUUUUCUGGUGGAAAUUAAAAAAAUCUUAUUUAAAUCUUUAAAAAAAAUCCUGUGAGGUAUUAUUAUUAUUAUUUUUUUGUGAGGUAGCAUUAUUGUCCUCCCUUUUGAAUAAAAACAUUAAAGUUUAAGGAGGUGAAGGAAGAUCCCCAAAGUUACCCAACAUGUAUGUGGAUGAUCUCAGAAAGUGUCAUGAACACCCACCAUGUUCAUAAUAUCCUUUUCACCCAUUCUUUGUUUAACCUAUGAGUGUUGGUUUCUGCCCUACACUUCUCUACUGAAACUUCUAAAACUUUCUUAUGACUUGUUGAUUCUUAAAUUUCUAGGUGAUUUUAGUUGUCAAGUUCUUAUUAUUUUGACUUUUGUGUCUUUAACCUGGGAUACCAAGAAAUGUACCUGUUCAGAUUCAUUGACAUCAGAUAUUCUCUCUAGUUUUUAUUCAAGGCCCUGGUGUCCAGUGGGCAGAGACAGUUCUUUUCCACAAAUCCACAUCUGUUUCUCUAUUCUCUCCAAUCCUGGAAUUCCUUAUAUUCUAUGGUAGGAUUAAACCAAUUCCUAGAAUAGUCAAAUAUACUAUCCAUAUAAGCUUUAAUCACAAAAUAAAGGUCUGAUGUUGGUAUAUUCUCCAAAGCCUGAGCUUAUAUCUUAUCACAUAUUUUUAAAUGAAACAAUAACAGUAGGUUCCCCUUAAUGUGAUAAAUAUUAAACCCAAUUUACAAUUCUAAAACUUGAAUGUUUUCUGUACAGAAGUAAUUAUGACACUGAUGUAGAUGUAAUUACAACAAAUCAUAUUGCAUAGAACUUUGUUUCAGGGUUACCAUAAAUAAACUUUAUUUUUGCUUUCUUGUUUUUCCUUGA